UUAAGUGAAAAAAAAAACUAAUUUUAGUGGUUCGUUAUCGGCCCUAUUUUUCAAAUUGAUUUUUAAACUUUCAACGUCACGUUUGUUCAUUGAUUGCUGAAUAUAAACUAAAAAUUUAUGGAGUGUAAAAAAUAAUAAUCUGAACCAUAGCUAAUUAGUAGUUAUCUUUGAGACAAUAAGAAAUUUUUUAACGAUAGAACUCCAGUGAUUUUGGAACAUUAAUAAAUUUCUAUAAUUUUUUUUUGUGUUGCCCGACAACUGCGUUUACUUGAAAUUAAACUAGUUAGUUCAAGUGUCGAAAAAAAAAAUAAAUUUAUAACUUCCCGCUACGAUAAUCCGAGAUCUCGAAAAAAGAAAUUUGCUAAGGAGAAUUUUUGAGACAUUUUUAAAUCAAUUGAUCAGUUACAGACUAAUAGAACGAAGAAAAUGAAAUGGUAUCCGUCAUCCACGUAAUACUAAUUUAAAUAUAAACAUUAUGAACUUAUAGAAUAAAAAUACAUAUAUUUUCUUUUUCACGCUUUAUCGACUGGUAUGGAGCUGAGAAUGUAACUGUUAAUAUGGAUAAAGAAUUAAAAUAAUUAAGAUUCAGAUUAAUGUUAUAUUCAACGACUUUGGAUGCAGCUAAAUUAAAAUACAAGAUUCGUUUAAAUAAUAAUUUUCUAUUAUCACUAUUUGGAGAAAAUUACACAAAGCAACAGUUGUCAAUAAUAUACAAUAGUGCAUGCAUUAUGCAACGGCCAGAGAUUCGCUUUCAGCAACAAGUGUACGGUGACGCCACGAGUUUAAGUCUUGUAAAGCUUGCAGACGAGUAGCGGAAGCGAUUUUCAUUCACUAACAGACAAUAUUUUGACAUAUUUAAUGGUAGUGAAUUAGAUAAAAAUUACACUAAAAGUUUAAAACUUCAAAUUUCCAAUCAUGUUCAUACUUUACUGUAAUCAUAUGUCUAUUUAAGUACAUUAAUAAUGUUUAAAAUGUUAUUUGUUAUUUACUAAAAUUUUA